GAUGAACGCUGGCGGCGUGCUUAAUACAUGCAAGUCGAGCGAAAGGACGCGACGCUUGCUUUUCUGAUGUUAGCGGCGGACGGGUGAGUAACACGUGGAUUACCUUCCUCUAAGACUGGGAUCACUUCGGGUAAGUGUAGCUCAUACCGGGUACUAUUUUGAACCGCAUGGUUCAAAAGUAAAUGACGGUUUUGCUGUCACUUCUAGAUGUAUCCGCGCUGCAUGAGCUAGUUGGUACGGUAACGGCUUACCAAGGCAACGAUGGAUAGCCGACCUGAGAGGGUGAACGGCCACACUGAAACUGAGACACGGUACAGACUCCGACGGGAGGCAGAGGUAGCGAAUCGACGGAGAUGGGCGAAAGAUUGACGGAGCAGCGCCAGGUUAGUGAAGAGGGGCUUCGGGGCGGAUAACGCUGUUAUGGGUGAAGAACACAUGUGUAAGGAACGGAGCACAUCGUGACGGUACCUAAACAGGAAGCCACGGCUAACUACGUG
rnacentral:rRNA from 1 species